GCGAGGGGGGCGGAAUGGGGAGACGAGCUAGCUUCAGGUGUUAGUGUCCUUACGGACGUGGGGGUUCAAGUCCCCCCCCUCGCACCA
rnacentral:tRNA from 1 species